UACUAUAAAAGGCAAACUUUCCCGAAAGGGAGGGACGCAAAGCCACGGGCCUGCAGGUAGUAAUAUACCAUGGUAGCCGGGCUGCCUUA
rnacentral:ncRNA from 1 species